rnacentral:rRNA from 1 species
UACAGAAAAUGCGAGCAUUGUUCGGAAUUAUUGGGCGUAAAGCGCUUGUAAGCGGCUUGUUAAGUCCUAUGUGAAAGCCCUUGGCUUAACCAAGGAAGUGCGCAGGAAACUGGCGAGCUUGAGUGCCGGAAAGGGUCGCGGAAUUCCCGGUGUAGAGGUGAAAUUCGUAGAUAUCGGGAGGAACACCAGUGGCGAAGGCGGCGACCUGGACGGACACUGACGCUGAGACACGAAAGCGUAAGGAGCAAACAGG